UGGGGAAUAUUGGACAAUGGGCGAAAGCCUGAUCCAGCCAUGCCGCGUGUGUGAAGAAGGUCUUCGGAUUGUAAAGCACUUUAAGGUGGGAGGAAGGGCAGUAAGCGAAUACCUUGCUGUUUUGACGUUACCGACAGAAUAAGCACCGGCUAACUCUGGGCCAGCAGCCGCGGUAAUACAGAGGGUGCAAGCGUUAACCGGAAUUACUGGGCGUAAAGCGCGCGUAGGUGGUUCGUUAAGUUGAAUGUGAAAGCCCCGGGCUCAACCUGGGAACUGCAUCCAAAACUGGCGAGCUAGAGUAGGGCAGAGGGUGGUGGAAUUUCCUGUGUAGCGGUGAAAUGCGUAGAUAUAGGAAGGAACACCAGUCGCGAAGGCGACCACCUGGGCUCAUACUGACACUGAGGUGCGAAAGCGUGGGGAGCAAACAGG
rnacentral:rRNA from 1 species